GUUCUUAUGGUGUAUGGAACACGCUACAUUUUCGUUGUAGAGAAAAAAGAUUAGUUUUUAAGAGUA
rnacentral:tRNA from 1 species